rnacentral:rRNA from 1 species
AGCGCUGUUUUCAGAAUCUUCGGAGGAAGAGGACAGUGACUGAGCGGCGGACGGGUGAGUAACGCGUGGGCAACCUGCCUCAUACAGGGGGAUAACAGUUAGAAAUGACUGCUAAUACCGCAUAAGCGCACAGGACCGCAUGGUGUAGUGUGAAAAACUCCGGUGGUAUGAGAUGGACCCGCGUCUGAUUAGGUAGUUGGUGGGGUAAAGGCCUACCAAGCCGACGAUCAGUAGCCGACCUGAGAGGGUGACCGGCCACAUUGGGACUGAGACACGGCCCAAACUCCUACGGGAGGCAGCAGUGGGGAAUAUUGCACAAUGGGGGAAACCCUGAUGCAGCGACGCCGCGUGAAGGAAGAAGUAUUUCGGUAUGUAAACUUCUAUCAGCAGGGAAGAAGAUGACGGUACCUGAGUAAGAAGCACCGGCUAAAUACGUGCCAGCAGCCGCGGUAAUACGUAUGGUGCAAGCGUUAUCCGGAUUUACUGGGUGUAAAGGGAGCGUAGACGGAUAGGCAAGUCUGGAGUGAAAACCCAGGGCUCAACCCUGGGACUGCUUUGGAAACUGCAGAUCUGGAGUGCCGGAGAGGUAAGCGGAAUUCCUAGUGUAGCGGUGAAAUGCGUAGAUAUUAGGAGGAACACCAGUGGCGAAGGCGGCUUACU